AGGUUAAGUGAAUAAGGGCGCACGGUGGAUGCCUUGGCACUAGGAGCCGAUGAAGGACGGGACUAACACCGAUAUGCUUUGGGGAGCUGUACGUAAGCUAUGAUCCAGAGAUUUCCGAAUGGGGGAACCCAGCAUCUUUAAUAGGAUGUUACGAUUGUGUGAAUACAUAGCACAUUCGAGGUAGACGCAGAGAACUGAAACAUCUAAGUACCUGCAGGAAGAGAAAGAAAAUUCGAUUCCCUGAGUAGCGGCGAGCGAAACGGGAAAAGCCCAAACCAGCAAGCUUGCUUGUUGGGGUUGUAGGACUCCAAUAUGGUAGUUCUUUCAGAUAGUCGAAUGACUUGGAAAAGUCAGUCAAAGAGGGUAAAAACCCCGUAGACGAAAUGUGGAAGACACCUAGGAGGAUCCUGAGUACGGCGGAACACGAGAAAUUCCGUCGGAAUCCGGGAGGACCAUCUCCCAAGGCUAAAUACUCCCUAGUGACCGAUAGUGAACCAGUACCGUGAGGGAAAGGUGAAAAGCACCCCGGAAGGGGAGUGAAAUAGAACCUGAAACCGUGUGCCUACAACAAGUCAAAGCCCGUUAAUGGGUGAUGGCGUGCCUUUUGUAGAAUGAACCGGCGAGUUACGAUUGCAUGCGAGGUUAAGUUGAAGAGACGGAGCCGCAGCGAAAGCGAGUCUGAAUAGGGCGUUUGAGUAUGUAGUCGUAGACCCGAAACCAUGUGAUCUACCCAUGUCCAGGUUGAAGGUGCGGUAAAACGCACUGGAGGACCGAACCCACGUACGUUGAAAAGUGCGGGGAUGAGGUGUGGGUAGCGGAGAAAUUCCAAACGAACUUGGAGAUAGCUGGUUCUCUCCGAAAUAGCUUUAGGGCUAGCCUCGGAAUUGAGAAUGAUGGAGGUAGAGCACUGUUUGGACUAGGGGCCCAUCUCGGGUUACCGAAUUCAGAUAAACUCCGAAUGCCAUUCAUUCAUAUCCGGGAGUCAGACUGUGAGUGAUAAGAUCCAUAGUCGAAAGGGAAACAGCCCAGACCACCAGCUAAGGUCCCAAAAUAUAUGUUAAGUGGAAAAGGAUGUGGGGUUGCACAGACAACUAGGAUGUUGGCUUAGAAGCAGCCAUCAUUUAAAGAGUGCGUAAUAGCUCACUAGUCGAGUGACCCUGCGCCGAAAAUGUACCGGGGCUAAACAUAUUACCGAAGCUGUGGAGUACACCUUUAGGUGUAUUGGUAGGAGAGCGUUCUAAGGGCGUCGAAGGCAGAUCGUGAGGACUGCUGGAGCGCUUAGAAGUGAGAAGGCCGGUAUGAGUAGCGAAAGACAGGUGAGAAUCCUGUCCACCGAAUGACUAAGGUUUCCUGGGGAAGGCUCGUCCGCCCAGGGUUAGUCGGGACCUAAGCCGAGGCCGACAGGCGUAGGCGAUGGAUAACAGGUUGAUAUUCCUGUACCCGUUGUUUUUGUUUGAGCAAUGGAGGGACGCAGGAGGCUAAGGAAUGCAGACGAUCGGAAAUGUCUGUCCAAGCAGUAAGUCUGAAGAGGAGUCAAAUGCUUCUUUUCUUAAGGACAAGCUGUGAUGGGGAGGGAAAUAAUAGUACCGAAGUUCCUGAUGUCACACUGCCGAGAAAAGCUUCUAGUGAGAAAACAGCGGCCCGUACCGCAAACCGACACAGGUAGUCGAGGAGAGAAUCCUAAGGUGAGCGAGAGAACUCUCGUUAAGGAACUCGGCAAAAUGACCCCGUAACUUCGGGAGAAGGGGUGCUGAUCAUACGAUCAGCCGCAGUGAAUAGGCCCAAGCGACUGUUUAUCAAAAACACAGGUCUCUGCAAAAUCGUAAGAUGAAGUAUAGGGGCUGACGCCUGCCCGGUGCUGGAAGGUUAAGAGGAGUGCUUAGCGCAAGCGAAGGUACGAAUUGAAGCCCCAGUAAACGGCGGCCGUAACUAUAACGGUCCUAAGGUAGCGAAAUUCCUUGUCGGGUAAGUUCCGACCCGCACGAAAGGCGUAACGAUUUGGGCACUGUCUCAACGAGAGACUCGGUGAAAUUUUAGUACCUGUGAAGAUGCAGGUUACCCGCGACAGGACGGAAAGACCCCAUGGAGCUUUACUGUAGUUUGAUAUUGAGUGUCUGUACCGCAUGUACAGGAUAGGUAGGAGCCGUAGAAAUCGGAACGCUAGUUUCGAUGGAGGCGCUGGUGGGAUACUACCCCUGCGUUAUGGCCACUCUAACCCGCACCACUAAUCGUGGUGGGAGACAGUGUCAGAUGGGCAGUUUGACUGGGGCGGUCGCCUCCUAAAAGGUAACGGAGGCGCCCAAAGGUUCCCUCAGAAUGGUUGGAAAUCAUUCGAAGAGUGUAAAGGCAGAAGGGAGCUUGACUGCGAGACCAACAAGUCGAGCAGGGACGAAAGUCGGGCUUAGUGAUCCGGUGGUUCCGCAUGGAAGGGCCAUCGCUCAACGGAUAAAAGCUACCCUGGGGAUAACAGGCUUAUCUCCCCCAAGAGUCCACAUCGACGGGGAGGUUUGGCACCUCGAUGUCGGCUCGUCGCAUCCUGGGGCUGUAGUCGGUCCCAAGGGUUGGGCUGUUCGCCCAUUAAAGCGGCACGCGAGCUGGGUUCAGAACGUCGUGAGACAGUUCGGUCCCUAUCCGUCGCGGGCGUUGGAAAUUUGAGAGGAGCUGUCCUUAGUACGAGAGGACCGGGAUGGACUUACCGCUGGUGUACCAGUUGUUCUGCCAAGGGCAUUGCUGGGUAGCUAUGUAGGGAAGGGAUAAACGCUGAAAGCAUCUAAGUGUGAAGCCCACCUCAAGAUGAGAUUUCCCAUUUCUUUAAGAAAGUAAGAUCCCUGAGAGAUGAUCAGGUAGAUAGGUCAGGAGUGGAAGUACAGUGAUGUAUGGAGCGGACUGAUACUAAUCGAUCGAGGACUUAACCAAU
rnacentral:rRNA from 1 species